rnacentral:rRNA from 1 species
UACGGAGGGGGCUAGCGUUGUUCGGAAUUACUGGGCGUAAAGCGCGCGUAGGCGGACCUGCAAGUCGGGGGUGAAAGCCCGAGGCUCAACCUCGGAACUGCCUUCGAUACUGCGGGUCUCGAGUCCGGGAGAGGUGAGUGGAAUUCCUAGUGUAGAGGUGAAAUUCGUAGAUAUUAGGAAGAACACCAGUGGCGAAGGCGGCAUCCUGGACCGGUAUUGACGCUGAGGAGCGAAAGCCAGGGGAGCAAACGGG